rnacentral:rRNA from 1 species
UACGUAGGGUGCAAGCGUUAAUCGGAAUUACUGGGCGUAAAGCGUGCGCAGGCGGUUUUGUAAGUCUGUCGUGAAGUCCCCGGGCUCAACCUGGGAAUUGCGAUGGAGACUGCAAGGCUAGAAUCUGGCAGAGGGGGGUAGAAUUCCACGUGUAGCAGUGAAAUGCGUAGAGAUGUGGAGGAACACCGAUGGCGAAGGCAGCCCCCUGGGUCAAGAUUGACGCUCAUGCACGAAAGCGUGGGGAGCAAACAGG